AAUGGAUUUUAUACAAGUCUUCUAAAUUUGUUUUAGGUUUUUACCUAUCCAUUU
rnacentral:tRNA from 1 species